rnacentral:lncRNA from 1 species
UUGAGUAUCUUCAAAGGCUUAUUCAAAGCUUUAAGUCUGUCCCAUAUUAGUUUCAUAGUAUCUGUCCUCCCCUCUUGCCAAACAGUUGUCACAAUGUGUUGGAAAUCCCUGUGUUCAGCCCAUACAUUGAAGAAUUUGAAGUGCCUCUUCCCUUGCCAUGUGGGUGGUUGCAGUGUUAGUAUCAUUGGGUUAUGGUCUGAAAUUAGUGGUACAUCAUACUCAGUGACCACCUGAUGCCAGGUGAUCCUCCAUUCAUA